GUCUCGCGCUCUUUCGUUUCGCUGUAAAAGUUUCCAGCCACUGCCGGCCGAGACACUCGCUUUCGUUCUGUUUGUUUUGACUCGUUGAAAUGCUUUCGCGAAACGCAUUCAGCAGACUUCGGGAGAACGAAGGGACCGUUGAAGCGUUCACCGGAUGAACACUCGUUUCAAGCCCGAGAAUAUACGAACCGCCUCCUGGUCUGACAAAGAAACAGCUGUGUGCAAUGAGCAAGGCACCUGUUACAUGACACGCCUGUAAAGAAGCUAGCCCGAGUGAAACAACAUGCAUUAUAAGGAUUGCCGGGCAACGACAGGAUGACUACCCCCGAAUGUCCACUCUGCAAGUGCGGCGAAACAUGUGAACGUCUGCUACAACAGGUCAUCUUGAACCUCACGCUUGCAAUGCUGUAUUUGUGAAUGGUUUACCAGGCAUCUCAUGGAGGUGUGCCUACAAUCGUCCACAAGUAUUAGCUGUCUACUGUGUCAUGCAACCUACACCGCAAUAGCGUUGAAAUUGAGCACUAGCUCCGUGCAUUAGUUACGUUACCUGGCACUGCUGAGCUCAACGACGCAGGUUUUAUACCCAGCCACGGUGGUCACAUUUCAUUGGGGGCGAAAUGCAAAGACACUCGUGUGCUUAGAUGUGCGUCUGAAGUUCAGGGAAAGACGGAAGCUUGAAGAGACGAAGCAUUUGUUAACAAGAGGUGUCGCUGGAGCAAAUGUUUCGACAAGCAGUCUUGUCUUCUUCAAGGCUACAACUGAGUUUGUUUAACUCCACUCAGUUAGAAUCAAUCUAGAGUUGCCCACUACUGU